rnacentral:lncRNA from 1 species
GGAGGAGGAGGAGGAGGAAGAAGAAGAAGAAGAAGAAGAAGAGUGUUUAGCUAAAGAAAUCUUCAACUGUCAGAUUGCUAAGGUCUAGACCUUAACUUGGCCAAGCCAGGGAGGCUUUGUGGAGAAAUGGCUCAGUGGUUAAGAGCACUUCCUACUCUUCCAGAAGUCCUUGAGUCCACAUUAGGUGACUCAAAACCACCUGUAAUUCCAGCUCCAGAGGAUCUGUCAGCCUCUUCUAGUCUCUACAGGCACUUUACUAGUAUGUAUACAAACACACACACAAACACAAAUUUAAAGUCUGUUUUUAAAUAGAGGGUUGUGCUAUAGCAAAUAUUUCUUAUUGUAUUUACGUUAGUCUUGUUCUGAGAUUCAAACUAACCCAGGGAGUAUUUGAAAACAUAUUUCCUGGUUUUAUCAAACAUCCCCCAGGAGGACUAGGCAUGAUGACAAACAUGAGUAAUUCAAAAACUUGGGAGGUAAAUGAAUGAAGAGGACAAGGACAAGCCUACCUACAAAUCAAGUUUAAGGCUAGCAUGACUGUCUGUAAGUACUAAAGGACAGUGACUUCCUCAAGGCUGUUUUCUGGAAUUUUCAGGGCACUGAGUCUAUCUAUUCUUGGCUACUUAAAUUGAAAUGUUAAUUUUACUAACCUUAUUUGUGACUUUUGUUAUAGUCAAACGUGCUUCAAAAUGCUCAGUGAAACAAUGGCUAAAGACACUGAGCAGCGAUUCCACAGAACCUUUAAUUUUUCUGCAGGAAAUAUUGAGUGCAUCAAAUUCAUGUGCAACAGUUUCAUCCCUCCGCUUUAUGUGCACCACUGCCUCACAUUUAUUAGCUACUUCUCUUGCUGUGAUAAAAUAUCAUGACCAAAGCAAAUUUAAAGAAAGAGAGGGUUUUGUGUAGGCUCCAGAGGAACAGGAGUCCUUUAUGGAGGCGAAGUGGUAAGCAUUGUGGCUAGAGUAGCAAGCUUAGAGCUUGCAGUUUGAACCAACAGCAAGAAUCAGAGAAUGAAAUGGCAAUGGUGUGUGGCUUUUAAGUCUCAAAAGUCCCCAGGUAUGUAUUUCUUCCAGAAAGAACACACCCCCUAAACUUAUCUUAAUAGGACAUCCACUGGGGACUGAGUAUUUAAACAUCUGAGCCUAAGGGGACAUUCUCAUCAUCUCAGAAGGUCACUGUGCCUCAUUCUUCAAGACUGAAGAAUGGGAGAUUGAAUUGGGAUUUGUAACUGAGCUACAUAAUGAACUUUCUAAAACACUAAGGCAUGGUAGCAGGUGUUCUUAACCCCAACACUGGAGAAAUGUAGGCAGUGUUAAUCCCACUGGGAACACCACUACCACAAUUUUGAGCCACAUUUAAAGCAAGCUUUAAUUAAAUAUCUGCCAGAAAGAUGGACUCUGGUCAGGUCCAUUCCUGGGUUCCCAGAAAAUGGUGAAGAGUCACAUCCAGUGGCAUAAAAAGGCAACCCAUAAGGCCACUGUAUUUCCCAUCAGAUUCGACCAGGGGCAAGCUUAUAUGCUAACAUACUUCCUGCCUAUGUACCUCUGCCUACAUCCAAUCAGGCAAGUGUACAACAUCCUAACAGAUUUCCUGUGGAUUACAUGUGACCAAGCGCAUCCAGUGUGGUUGUUUUCCCCCAUAAAGAAUUGCCGCCAGCAUUUCAGGAGAUAUCUGUCAUUGGGCAAGGGGCUUACAGGUUAGAAGGACUUUUCUUUCAUGAGUCUCUUAGGCACAAUAAUUAAAACUUAAAACAACAUUGGCUCUCAAAGCCAGAGCAUCUUCAGCUAAAUAGCCAGUUGAAGCUUAGCCUGAGCUCUGUGAAAGCCCCUUCUGGUUAAGGUGGGGAUAUGUAAAAUACGCACCUUAGUUCCUAGUGCCAGAGUCCUAAACCGAACACUGAUUACUAUAUAAAAACAGUUUUCUCUUCUAAGAGUUUUGAACCUUUUCCACUCUAAAGUUGAUUCUCUUUUCUGUUUUUAUUUUCAGUUCUGGGAAUAGAACUUGACCUCCCUAAUGCCAGUGUUUUAGGCAAGCAAUCUACCACUGAGCCCCCUAAAGCUAACAUACCAAACAGAACACAUUCUUCCUGUGGUCAAACUAGCCACACCCUGACUACACUUCCCCAUUCAAAUUCCUUUAAUUAUGGAUAGCAAAUACCUGUGUAUAUGGAUAGUAUAGCCUGUGGGCAGGCUAUACAUUGUUAAGAAAAUGCCAGCUGUAUAAUGUUACUCUGGCACAAUAAUUAGUUUGGGGCUCAAGAAACCAGAGCACCACAGGUUAUGUGAGGUGGCGUAGCUAGUUGAGAUGGCUGUGUGCAGGCUUUAUUUUAGCAUUUCAGGGUUAUAAGAGAUGGAAUCUUGUUCACACCAGCACAGUGAGUUGCUGAAAGGUCUAAUUCACUUGAUAGGUGGCUGACUUAAUCAGGGUUACACCAUGACCAAAGCAACUUGGGGAGGAAAGAGUUUAUUUGGCUUACAAUUCCACAGCACUGUUUAUCCGGAAGGAAGUCAGGACAGAAACUCACACAGGACAGAAACCUUGAGGCAGAAGCUGACACAGGAGCUAUGGAGGAGGGCUGCUUUACUGACUGCCUCCUCACGUCUUACUCAGCCUGCUUUCUUAGAGAGCCAGGAACGCCAGCCCAGAGGUGACAUCACUCCUCUCAGAUGACUAUAGCUUGUGUCAAGUUAACAACAACAACAAAAAAGGCAGCACAGUGGUCAUUGACUUAGCACACUGUAGAGCCUGGGGACGUGGGGGAGGAUAGACGAGGAUUGUGCCUUCCUGAAGUUACAGUUGUGCUUUCCUCCCUUCAGGUGCAGCCUGCAGCACUGUAGCAGAAAAGCACUUGCUUGAGGUGAUCUGUAGACUUCUUGUUUUAAAUUCACUGGACUUUUUUUU